CCUGAUACAAUGAGCCCUAUAUAUAUACAUAGCCUAUCCUACUCCUAAUACAUAUAGGAUUAGGGUUAUUUUCCUACUAUUUACAUAUUCUAACAAUCUUAAUUAGUCUUGAUCCACAGGAGUUGAGAGAUAAUGUGAACAAAAACCUCAAUUAAUAGAAGUUAGUAAUUUGAAACUUAAAGAAGUGCUCCCUAAAAAUCAGAAACCUUGAUGGUAUACAAGAAAUUGAUCUGAUUAUUGUAUCGUUUAUUUCAUUUAUGCUUUUGCAAAAAGUUUAAAAAUAUUUUUCUAUCUUAGCAUUUGGUUGAUCAGAUUGACCAAAAAAAGAACUUGGUCACUUUAGCCACUCAAUGAACUUAGUUGAUCUUAUGCAGUCUUAAUGGAGCAUCUAUACGCAGUUUUUCUAUUGUUUUGCUGAAGGAGUAGGUGAUCCCUAGGAGGUGUGCCCUAUUACUUUUUAAUCUGAACAGCAGCUAUAGUUUUCUGAGAUUUCCUUUUUGACAACCUAGUGAGUGUACUAAGAGCUGUGGUUCUGUAAAUGACUCUUUGCUUAAAUAAUUUAGUUAUAAAAUAAAAUUUAUUAAAUUAUAAUGGAAACACUUAGCCCCCUAUAAGCCAGCAAUUUGAUUCACACAUGCGGGAACUUCUUCGAGUCGUUAUGUAAGUGCUUUAUGGUCUUUGCCUAUUUUUAAUGCACACAUAUCGGCAAGGAGGAGGGGCUAUCAUAUGUUUUGUGUUGUGGAUUACGGGACAAUGUAAACUUGCCCCGUUAUAUCUAGUUUGAUGCAUAGAGUCAUUUAUGGUCGGAAUUGAGCUCUAUGGUGUCUUUUUUUUUUUUUAAUCUGUUCUUUGUUAAGUGAAGCAUGCCUAAUCACUCCAGAUUUUGGAUAUAGUAAUUUCUUCAUUGGUAAUUGUUGCCCGCUGAUGGAAAUUAAAUUCUGAAGGUCAUUCUUUUGGUUUAUCCAUGAUUUUGUUUUAGUUUGACAUGGAUAAAGAAUGCAUCUAAAGAAUCAGAAUUGGUGUACCAUGUUGUCACUGGGGGACUUUUGAGAGAGUGAUGUUCAGCCUAAAUAUGGGUGCAACUUAGACAACCUUGAUCUUGGAAACUCUAAUCAAAGAGAAAUCUGCUUUAGAAAUUUGGAAGGGUGACUGCUGCCUGCUGGGAUUGUUUUCUACUUUAGAUAUCUAUAUUUUUUGCUAGUUAUUUAAAAGUUAAACGUUAAUGAGUGGUGUGGUGAAUUGCAAAAGAAUCAGAUAAAAGAAUGACAUUAGCUAUUGAGAAAAUGUUAGGAAAAGGUAUAGAAAAGGCCGAGGAAAUGCCAAGGUUUUUUGGUAGAAUGCGGAAACAAGAGUCUUAUACCAGUAGUUACUCAUCGUGACUUGUUUCUAUGGCUUUAGGCAUGGAAGGCGACUGAUUGCUCUGCGCAUUAUUUAUGGUGAAUAUAACAUGGAGUGAUUGUGGUGGUCCCAUCAUUGCUCUUUUCUUCUUUCCCUUUACCUUAAAUUUCCCUUUCCC
rnacentral:lncRNA from 1 species